rnacentral:lncRNA from 1 species
AAGCACUCCAGGCAAUCCUGUAUGUGCCCUGAUAUGUCCUAUAAAGAAUGGAUCUUUUCUGUCCCAGAUUAGACUUUGUAUAGUGGAAAGCAAAGAGAAAACAGUAGAGGAAGGGGAAAUCCUACCAGCAUCUUCAAGGGAUACUAUAGCAUUAACAAUAUACUGACUAUCGGAAAAUAAAUUAAAUACAGAAUCUUUAAACAUCACAAAAGCUUGUAAUACUGCAUUAAUCUCUACCUUUUGAGCUGACUGUUUGGGUACUAAAAAUGUAAAAGUUUGAUCAGCUGUAACUAUUUCUGCUGUACCACUAUUUGACCCAUCAGUGAAUAUAUUUGGAGCAUUCAUGAUAGGUGUUUUUCUUGUCAUUUUUGGAAAAAUUACAGGAUGCAAUGACCAAAAAGACAAUAAAGGAUUAGAUGGUAAGUGGUUAUCAAAUGAAAUAUUAGAUUUGCACAUGAUUAUUGCCCAAGUAUUUAACUCAUUAGCUAACUCAUCAAUUUGAUUCAUAGUGUAUGGAGUAAUAAUUUUAUUGGGAGAAAUUCCAAACACUCCCUUUGCUGCUUUUAUUCCUUUGAGUAUUAAUUGUCCUACAGCCUCAGGAUACCUAGUAAGAAUAGUGUUAGGAGAAUAAGAUAAAUGUAUCCAUAAUAAUGGACCUCCUUGCCAAAAUACUCCUGUAGGAAUAUUUUUUGUUGGUAGUACAAUAAAUAAUAAAGGCAAACUUAUAUCAAUUCUAUCUAAAUGCAUAUUUUGCAUAUAUGUUUCAAUGAUUUUUAAUGGCUUUCUUGCUUCUGGCGUUAACAUGCGUGGUGAAUUUGGAUGUGAUGGACCUUUUAGGAUAUCAAAUAAAGGUCCCAACUCUCCUGUUGGUAUACCUAGAUAAGGCCUUAUCCAAUUUUUGUCUCCUAAUAACUUGUGAAAGUCGUUAAGUGAUUUGAGUUGAUCUACUCGUAUUUGAAUUUUUGGUGGACGGACCAU